GUGAAUCAUCGAAUUUUUGAACGCAAAUUGCACUCUCUUCGGAGAGUAUGCGUGCUUGAGGGUCAGUAUUAAUAAAAAUCGGAGUGUUGCUUCUUUGUGACGUUUCGGAGUUUGGGUCAUCUUAAUAUCUUUCAGGUUUUAAGAGGCUUAAAAUUGACUUUUUUUGCGCAUUUUAGAUGAACAUUAC
rnacentral:misc_RNA from 1 species